rnacentral:lncRNA from 1 species
UACUUACGUCUGAAACGUUCCCCACAAAGAGUUGUGUGUUAAGGGCCUGACUGACAGCUGAUGGGCUCUGGAGUAGUGACUGGAUCGUGAGGACUUGGAUGUUUGGCUGUUACAAUGUUCACUUCACCUCUUGUCCAAAGCAACAGAGGUGAAUAAAAACUAUGAAACCAUGAGCUGAAGAAGGCAUUUCCCCACAGUUUAGAUUUUUCUUACUGUGUUUGUCACACGAAAGGUGACCUCCACAUAGCCCAACCCAAAGUCAAUGUUCACUUUUGACUUGAAGCAACUGUAAGCUGAACCCUCCCAGGAAGCAAAGAACCAGUAUUUCUGUGUCUUCUCUGCAUCCUCUUUUGAGAUGACAACACCCAUCCCUGCAUCCUAAAUACUAUGAUGUAGUUUUGUCUCAAACUCACUAUGGAGCUUUCUUCCACCCUGGAAUGCUGACAUUACAAGGGAGAUUCUCCACAUCUGGUUUAUUCAGUGCUAGGAAACUGAACCUCUUGCAUGCUAGGCAAGCUCUCUACCAACUAAUCUACCGCCCUAGCCUCGAUUCUUUGUAUCUUGCUGAUCCCCCAAAGGCUCUAGUGUUACAUGCUUUGUUCCAGAGUGGUGAUAUUAGGAGGUGGUGGAGCUCUUCAGAGAAGGAGGCAAACUUGUCCUGGCUGUUAAGGGACAAGGGGAUGUGGACCUGUUGUCCUUCUGGUGUGUCUGAAGACAGCUAAAGUGUACUCAUAUAAAAAAAAUAAUAAAAUAAAAUAAAAGACAAGAGCU